GCUUGUGGUAGCUCAGUUGGUAGAGCAUGAGAUUUCUAAUCUCAGGGUCGUGGGUUCGAGCCCCACGCUGGACA